AACGAACGCUGGCGGCAUACCUAACACAUGCAAGUCGAACGAGACCUUCGGGUCUAGUGGCGCACGGGUGCGUAACGCGUGGGAACCUGCCCUUAGGUUCGGAAUAACUCCCCGAAAGGGGUGCUAAUACCGGAUAAUGUCUUCGGACCAAAGAUUUAUCGCCUUUGGAUGGGCCCGCGUUGGAUUAGCUAGUUGGUAGGGUAAAAGCCUACCAAGGCGACGAUCCAUAGCUGGUCUGAGAGGAUGGUCAGCCACACUGGGACUGAGACACGGCCCAGACUACUACGGGAGGCAGCAGUGGGGAAUAUUGGAAAAUGGGCGAAAGCCUGAACCAGCAAUGCCGGGUGAGUGAUGAAGGCCUUAGGGUUGUAAAGCUCUUUUACCCGGGAUGAUAAUGACAGUACCGGGAGAAUAAGCACCGGCUAACUCCGUG
rnacentral:rRNA from 1 species